AACGAACGCUGGCGGCAGGCUUAACACAUGCAAGUCGAGCGCCCCGCAAGGGGAGCGGCAGACGGGUGAGUAACGCGUGGGAACGUACCCUUUGCUACGGAAUAGCUCCGGGAAACUGGAAUUAAUACCGUAUGUGCCCUACGGGGGAAAGAUUUAUCGCGAAAGGAUCGGCCCGCGUUGGAUUAGCUAGUUGGUGGGGUAAUGGCCUACCAAGGCGACGAUCCAUAGCUGGUCUGAGAGGAUGAUCAGCCACAUUGGGACUGAGACACGGCCGAAACUCCUACUGGAGGCAGCAGUGGGGAAUAUUGGAAAAUGGGCGCAAGCCUGAUCCAGCCAUGCCGCGUGAGUGAUGAAGGCCUUAGGGUUGUAAAGCUCUUUCACCGGAGAAGAUAAUGACGGUAUCCGGAGAAGAAGCCCCGGCUAACUUCGUGCCAGCCGCCGCAGUAAAAC
rnacentral:rRNA from 1 species